AACAGUUCACUCUAAAGUCUUGUGUGAGUUUCUUGUUCCUGCUUUGCAAGCUUCUCCUCUAGUCUUUUGAGGUCAUCUUCUGAAGUUGCACACAAAAUGUACAUCAUCACAACCUCUACAUAGGAAUCACAAUUGUCAAGAUACAUCGUAUGAAAAGAUACAACAAAAUUAAAAAUGAAGAGAAGUUAUCGAUACCUAUUGGCAACCCAAGCACAUGACCGUUCAAAUCGAAUACCCCACCAAGAUGCAGAAUACUAAGGAUGAAACGAACCCAAAUCGAAUAGCCGAAGCAAUUCUAGGAAAAAUCAGAAGAUCUGCUGAAAAACUAUCCUAGCAUGCCCCGUGCCCCAUCAGAAAAUACAACUGCAUCUACUGAAGAUCGUUUCCAAAUUCUAGCCAAGAAAGAAAUUAGACACGCCCUGUACCUUAGCCACAAUAUGACAAAAAAAAAAUCUAGGAAGAUUUUUGAAGAUCUAGUGAGCCCCACAAAGUAGACCACGGGUCGUGUCUAGGAUACACGCCCCGUUCUUGGGUCCCAACUAUUGAUCCGGUUAAGACAGCGCCCCUAGCAUUAUAAAUAGUAGCCUUGGCCUUCAUUUUCACUAGCUGAAUUCUAUUCUUUUCUCCACAACACACUCUUCUU
rnacentral:lncRNA from 1 species